rnacentral:lncRNA from 1 species
UGUGACACAAACACGGUGGUAGCGCGGCACGUGGCCUGCAACGCCAAAACUCAUCCUCUCUGGCCCUUUACGGAAGCUUGCCAGCCCCUGCUCUCCAUUCACGGUUCCCUCCGAGAUGGGCGCCGCACCAUCCUACACCAGCGGUGUCAGACCACCAACCCCCAGAUUCAGACUCCGAGACGAAGUGGUAAACCUGAAAUGUAUUUUGUGAACUUAAAGGGUUAAAUCAGCACUGUCACCUUGUCAUAAAGGCCAUCUCCGUCAGUCACCCCAGGACAGCCCUGUCCACCAUUCUUGGCCAGCUUCCUUCAAGGACUUUAUCACAUCUGAUACCUUCUCUUUGUAAAUAUUUGUCCCCCUCCUCACAUUGUGAGAGCCCUGAGAACAGGAAUCUUCACAGUCUUGUUUGUCCCUAUAUCCCCAGGGCCUAGAACACUGCCUGGCCCAUAGGGGGUGCUCAAGCAACACUGAAUGAAUGAAUGAAUGAAUGAAUGAAAAGCAAUUCAGCAGCAAAAUUUUCCUAUUGGGUGAAGAGAGAUAACUACACAGUGACCACAAGACCCAGACUCUACAGGUCCUCUCUGUCAGAAGGAUGUUCAACCUGAUCCUCAAGAUAAAGUCAAGCCCAGUCACACCUCUGAGCCACUGAGGCAUGACUCAUACCUGCAGCCAAACAGGAGGAUACAGGAAGUGAAGCCACAGCAAUUCACAGGGAAUGAGAGAAACCAUUUUGGGAUUUUUCCAAUAACACCAACUACCUCAAAGCUGGCCCAAUGUCUGGAGGCUGGAAGCUGAGGGAGGAAACAGAGAUCGAAGGCCAGACAGAGAUCCUAGCUCUGGUCCUGACUGUGCCUCUUUCCAGCCAUGGACCCUGACCUGAUCAUGUCGCUUUGCUGACCUUCUGUUUUGCCCUCCACAAAAUGUAGACCUCUGAGGAUUUGUCUGAAGAUAAAAUAAGGUAACGCAGAAACAAGCUAUGGCUAAACCAUACAAGUGUUAGCUGCCAUUAUUAUUAUUAUUGUUGUCGGUGA